rnacentral:rRNA from 1 species
UAGGGAAUCUUCCGCAAUGGACGAAAGUCUGACGGAGCGACGCCGCGUGAGCGAAGAAGGCCUUCGGGUCGUAAAGCUCUGUUGUUAGGGAAGAACAAGUACCGUUCAAAUAGGGCGGUACCUUGACGGUACCUAACGAGAAAGCCUCGGCUAACUACGUGCCAGCAGCCGCGGUAAUACGUAGGUGGCAAGCGUUGUCCGGAAUUAUUGGGCGUAAAGCGCGCGCAGGCGGUUCCUUAAGUCUGAUGUGAAAGCCCACGGCUCAACCGUGGAGGGUCAUUGGAAACUGGGGAACUUGAGUGCAGAAGAGGAGAGCGGAAUUCCACGUGUAGCGGUGAAAUGCGUAGAGAUGUGGAGGAACACCAGUGGCGAAGGCGGCUCUCUGGUCUGUAACUGACGCUGAGGCGCGAAAGCGUGGGGAGCAAACAG